GCAGUAGGGAAUCUUCCGCAAUGGACGAAAGUCUGACGGAGCAACGCCGCGUGAGUGAUGAAGGUUUUCGGAUCGUAAAGCUCUGUUGUUAGGGAAGAACAAGUACCGUUCGAAUAGGGCGGUACCUUGACGGUACCUAACCAGAAAGCCACGGCUAACUACGUGCCAGCAGCCGCGGUAAUACGUAGGUGGCGAGCGUUGUCCGGAAUUAUUGGGCGUAAAGGGCUCGCAGGCGGUUUCUUAAGUCUGAUGUGAAAGCCCCCGGCUCAACCGGGGAGGGUCAUUGGAAACUGGGGAACUUGAGUGCAGAAGAGGAGAGUGGAAUUCCACGUGUAGCGGUGAAAUGCGUAGAGAUGUGGAGGAACACCAGUGGCGAAGGCGACUCUCUGGUCUGUAACUGACGCUGAGGAGCGAAAGCGUGGGGAGCGAACAGGAUUAGAUACCCUGGUAGUCCACGCCGUAAACG
rnacentral:rRNA from 1 species